UUCAUUUAGAAUAUAAAUCAGGUCAGAAAAGGACUCACCUUGGAAUGGGUAGGAAUGUCAAAGUUGACAACUACAUCCACAUGAGGAAUGUCCAAACCUCGGCUUGCAA